AAUAAUAUUUAUACAUAAAUUAAAUAAAUAAAACUAAUAUAUAUUAGUACAAGUACAACUAAGGUUCAGCGCAAUUCAAGCUAUGAAUUAUAAUCAUUUCGCCCCGUGAUUUCUUUAUAGAAUUUUGUGUAAUAAUUCAUAGAGUAUUCCCCUCGGUCAGCUGUAGAAAUGCCAAAGUCGAAAUUAACCAAAAGAAAAUAAUAAAAAGAAAGUAAAUUAAUUAGGUAAUUCCACAAAUACCAGAAACAACGAAGAAAGAAAAUUGAAGAAAAAGUGAUUACUAUAAUUAUUCCCAAGUUGCAAAAGUGUGCGCAAAUAUUCAGUUAUAGUCGGUUAGCCAAUAAGCUUCCGAAAGGCAAUAAAUAGCCAUGUUGUUCGUAUAAAUUGCUCACAGCCAAACAAAACGAAAUCCCAUUUUCGUUCGUGUUAAAAAUGUGCGGCCCAGUUUGGCUGCAAACGCAACCGCAGAAGCAGCGGAGGCUCAUCGUCAGCUGCCAGAAAUGGACAGUGUAAAAAGUGAACAAAGAAAGAAAGAAAAAAAAAAACAAACAAAGAAAGAAUGAAAAUAAAAUACAAUAAAAUGUGCCAAAAAUAAUAAGAGAUAUCCUGUGAAUAGGACCCAUCCACACACACAUACUCACGCGAAUGAGGAAUAACUUCUCAGCUGGUAAAUAAAAAUUAAAAUAUAAAUAAAAUCCAAGUGGCAGUGUCUGUGCGCCAUGACCCGGUGCAAGCAAGGCGGGCGAAUAAAUAAUUGGUGCUAAUCGCCAUAAGCUGUGUGUAGUGUUAGAAUGUCUGAGCCAAGCACCUGCAAAAUAUGAAAUCAUGGCAGAUAAUAUUUUUCUUUAAGUGAAUAUGAAUAUGCCUCUUAACAUACACAUUUAAAUAGUUUAUGAAAUUUCAAACGAAAUGCCUUUAUUUACUUCUUAAAAAAGGAUAAGCUUUCAUCCAAGAGGAGAUAAAAAAAAGGAACAUUGUUCGUGAAUCGAGCCACCAACGGCGCACACAUACUUAAACACAGCCAAUCUGACAUGUGAUCAAAAAGUAUAAAACGCUUUUGCCGUCAUCACAUAAGCAGUCGAAGGUCUUCACAAGCACACGCAAUGUACGGAUUUCUUCACAACGACGAUGCACAACCGCAACAACUCAAUCAUCGGCAUCAACACGGGAAGCAACAACAAUAGCAGCUGUACAGUACUGCGCUUAAUGCCGGUGGCAGCGACAGCGAUAACAGUACAACAGUACAAGAAGCGCUCAAAGCAACAGUAAUAGUAUUCCAAGCUUCAGUGGCAACAACAUCGCGAAUCCAGCCCACGGCAGCAGUAAAAACAUCAACAGCAACAGCAACAGCGCUGGCACAAGUAAAAUAAUUGCCGACGCAUUGGUGAGUCGUUCGCUUGCACUGAAUCCGCUCAACAUGUCGAGUUCGCCCGAAGUAGCGGAAGCGGGUGUGGGUGUGGCUACAGGAGCAAAUGUAGAUUUGAACGUGAGCUCUGACGAAACACCGCUCGAGUCCUACGACAGCCUCGACGCAAUUAAUGAGAGUACCGAACUGCAGUGCCUGAUGCAACAGCACAUUGAUACAACGACCUACGGCAAUGACAGCGCCUACUGCCUCACCCACUUCGACUCAAUUCUUUGUUGGCCGCGCACGUCGCGUGGCACUUUGGCGGCGCUGCCGUGCCUGCAUGAGUUCCAGGGCAUACAGUACGACAGCUCGCAGAAUGCGACGCGCUUUUGCCAUGCCAAUGGCACAUGGGAAAAAUAUACAAACUAUGACUUGUGCAUGCAUCUGCCCGCGCCCUCGACUGUACCUGAAUUCGAACCAAUCAUCGAGUUGCCAACGAUAAUUUACUACAUCGGUUACACCAUCAGCUUUGUCUCAUUGACACUGGCGAUUAUUGUCUUCGCAUAUUUCAAGGAAUUACGCUGUUUACGCAAUUCAAUUCACGCCAAUUUAUUCUUCACAUACAUAAUGUCGGCGUUGCUGUGGAUACUGACUUUGUCCGUACAUAUUUCCAUACGAACGGGCUUAGGAGGCUGUGUGGUUCUUGUCACGCUCUUUCAUUUCUUCACCUUAACCAAUUUCUUCUGGAUGCUUGUUGAAGGACUUUAUUUGUACAUGCUGGUUGUGAAGACAUUUUCCGGCGAUAAUAUACGCUUCAACAUAUACGCAAUCAUCGGCUGGGGUGGACCCGCCGGUUUCGUUGUCGUUUGGGCAAUCGCCAAGGGAUUUACGAUAUCCUACGAUGUGGAAAAGUUCGAUAUUGGUUGCCCUUGGAUGCGAGAGACCCAUGUGGAUUGGAUUUUCCAAGGCCCAGUCUGCGCGGUGUUGAUAAUGAAUUUAAUAUUUCUGCUGAGAAUCAUGUGGGUGUUGAUAACGAAACUGCGAUCCGCCAACACAGUUGAAACGCGCCAAUAUCGCAAAGCAGCCAAGGCAUUGUUGGUGCUCAUACCCCUCUUCGGCAUCACCUACUUGGUGGUUUUGGCAGGCCCCAGCGAAAGUGGGGUCAUGAGUCACAUGUUCGCCGUCGUGCGAGCCCUGCUGCUCAGUACACAGGGCUUCGCAGUGUCAUUGUUCUAUUGUUUCCUAAACUCCGAAGUGAGAAACACACUGAGGCAUCACAUUUCCAGGUGGCGCGACGAGCGGAAUAUCCAACUCAAUCAAAGCAGAAGGUGAGCAAACAGGUACACCACAAAGAGCUUCUCAAAGGAUUGCUCGCCGAGAACCGAGAGCACACGUUUUUCAUUUGCCAUCGCAUAAUAUUUGGUUGCGUUUGUUUUGCUUUAUUCCUUGCAGGCCGCUCACAGCUUACUAUGGCAAAGGCAAACGCGAGUCCAGCGUCUCAUCGGCAACCACCACCACCCUGCUGGGCCACAACCAAAGCCUGAGUGUGAACGCGAACAUCAGCGGAGCGAUGGCGUUGCAGCACAGCUCUAACGGCACUUUGCAAACGAUGUCCACCGUAACGGCGCUGACCGUUAUGCCGCGAGCGGUUAGUCCGCUCAUGAAGCAAGGACUCGAGGAAAAUUCCGUAUAAGAGAUCACAAAUUAUAAAGCUGUAACAUCUAUGUAUAGUAUUAAGUAAUAUCUUUAGUAAUAUUAUAAAUUAAAGUAUAUUAGAAAUAAGCCAAUGUCAUUAGCUAAUCAAAAGCGUAAAGGGAAAUUAUUUAACGCAAACUAACGAAUUUAUUAUAAGUAUGUUACUACAACUUUUUUAACACACUGUACUCUAAGCACAACUUAAAUGUAAUAUUAUUUUAUAUAUUGUUGUAAUGAUAAAAAUGUAAAUAAUUGAACUUUUUGUGUAAAUAUUGUAUUCAUUUGUAUGUUAGCUAUUGGAACUUGAACACGAAUACUGAUCUUCAGUGUCUAAUAUUGAGAGAUAAUGACUUGAUAUUUGUAAAUGAUUCCUGUCAAUAGUUGUGGCUAAAUCUCUAUAUAGCUAUGUGUGUGUAUAUGUACAAGUAUAUAGCUAAAAUCAAAAUAAAAAUAAAAAAAUUAUAUAAAUGUGUUAUAUGUGAUGAAUUGCGUUUGCGUGUGUGUGUACGCUAAUUAUAUGUAAAGUUACUUAAAUAGAGUAAUAUCGCUGGAACUUCUUGAAGUAUUAUUUUCUUAAAAAAUCUAAUAUUUCCCAGUUUUACUAGCGCCCUGCAUCAAGAAUAGUUAAUUUUUUUUUAUUUGGCAUUGCGAAAAAUACUUUAUUACUGCUGCAAAUUGAAAAAAAAAUUGCUGAAUUUUUCAAAGUCCACUUUAGUGUAAUCGAAAAUAUAUGUAGCUUUGUAAGAUCAUUAGCUUAGAAUGUAUGGGUUUAAUAUUACUGUGUUAUUGUUACAAAUAUAUGUAAUUUUUGAAAUGUGUAAAUAUAGAUUGAGAAAUAUAUAUGUAUAUAUAUGUGCUCGCAAUUGA